rnacentral:lncRNA from 1 species
CCAAACUCCAACAACCACCUUCAAUAAUCGUCUCCAAUGACAACUCCUUUGUCCAACUCUAAGCAAUUACCACCUCUGGCGGCAAACUUCGUUGAUCACCUCUAGUGAACAUUAGCACUCAACCUCAUCAAUAUUCAAUGACUCAGCAACCAACUCAAUAAACAUAUGUAAAAUAAAAAGAAAAAAAAAUAACUUGGUUGGUGAAAAUGUAACUAAAUAUUGUAAUUUA